GCAAGUCGAGCGAACAGACGAGGAGCUUGCUCCUCUGACGUUAGCGGCGGACGGGUGAGUAACACGUGGAUAACCUACCUAUAAGACUGGGAUAACUUCGGGAAACCGGAGCUAAUACCGGAUAAUAUAUUGAACCGCAUGGUUCAAUAGUGAAAGACGGUUUUGCUGUCACUUAUAGAUGGAUCCGCGCCGCAUUAGCUAGUUGGUAAGGUAACGGCUUACCAAGGCAACGAUGCGUAGCCGACCUGAGAGGGUGAUCGGCCACACUGGAACUGAGACACGGUCCAGACUCCUACGGGAGGCAGCAGUAGGGAAUCUUCCGCAAUGGGCGAAAGCCUGACGGAGCAACGCCGCGUGAGUGAUGAAGGUCUUCGGAUCGUAAAACUCUGUUAUUAGGGAAGAACAAAUGUGUAAGUAACUAUGCACGUCUUGACGGUACCUAAUCAGAAAGCCACGGCUAACUACGUGCCAGCAGCCGCGGUAAUACGUAGGUGGCAAGCGUUAUCCGGAAUUAUUGGGCGUAAAGCGCGCGUAGGCGGUUUUUAAGUCUGAUGUGAAAGCCCACGGCUCAACCGUGGAGGGUCAUUGGAAACUGGAAAACUUGAGUGCAGAAGAGGAAAGUGGAAUUCCAUGUGUAGCGGUGAAAUGCGCAGAGAUAUGGAGGAACACCAGUGGCGAAGGCGACUUUCUGGUCUGUAACUGACGCUGAUGUGCGAAAGCGUG
rnacentral:rRNA from 1 species